GUGCUCACUUCAGCAGAACAUAUACUAAAAUUGGAAUGAUACAGAGUUUAUAGCAUGGCCCCCGUGCAAGGAUGCCAUGCAAAUUCAUGGUGUUCCAUAUUUUU
ensembl:snRNA U6 U6 spliceosomal RNA